rnacentral:rRNA from 1 species
GACGAGGGGUCCAAGCGUUGUUCGGAAUCAUUGGGCGUAAAGCGGGUGUAGGUGGCUCUAUAAGUCAGAAGUGAAAGCCCCGGGCUUAACCCGGGAAGUGCUUUUGAUACUGCAAAGCUUGAGUAUGGGAGAGGGUCGUGGAAUUCCUGGUGUAGUGGUGAAAUACGUAGAUAUCAGGAGGAACACCGGUGGCGAAGGCG